GACGAACGCUGGCGGCGUGCCUAACACAUGCAAGUCGAGCGGGGAACGGAUGGUAGCUUGCUACUGUUUGUUUCUAGCGGCGGACGGGUGAGUAACGCGUGAGCAACCUGCCUUUAUCAGGGGGAUAACGCAUCGAAAGAUGUGCUAAUACCGCGUAAGACCACAGCUUCACAUGGAGCGGGGGUCAAAGGAGCAAUCCGGAUAAAGAUGGGCUCGCGUCCGAUUAGCUAGUUGGUGAGAUAACAGCCCACCAAGGCGACGAUCGGUAGCCGACCUGAGAGGGUGAUCGGCCACAUUGGAACUGAGAGACGGUCCAGACUCCUACGGGAGGCAGCAGUGGGGAAUAUUGGGCAAUGGGCGAAAGCCUGACCCAGCAACGCCGCGUGAGGGAAGAAGGGUUUCGGCUCGUAAACCUCUGUCCUAUGGGACGAAGGAAGUGACGGUACCAU
rnacentral:rRNA from 1 species